rnacentral:lncRNA from 1 species
GAGCGGCACUAAGAGGGGGGGGUGAAUUAGUGCAGCGGAUUAAAACUUCGAUUUUAACAAGAUCUUUCGUACGUUAAGAACGAAACUUGAGAAAUUUAACUUGAAGGCGUAUUCUUGAAGUUGCGCAGCAAGAGUAAUAAGGAACUAAAGCAGUAAGAAGAUUUGCAGUAAUGUAAAUGACAAUAAUAAAAAGCAAACCAGAGAUUACGCCGAUUUUUAGAGUGGUUCGGUCAAAAGACCUACUCCACUUGCGAGGCCCCUCUUCGAUGAGGCUCCCACCUUCCACUAGCAAGUCUCUUGAAAUGGAAGGGUAAACACCCCUCUUACAACCUUUUACAAGCAGCUCAACCUCUUACAAAUUUUCAAUAAGAAAGGAGGAGGAGAACUCUCUAGCAAAUUGAAAACAAGACUUGCUAAGACUUUCUAAGACUUUUCUCUCAAUCAAAAUGCUUCUCAAAAGUUGUCACCAAAGCUGAGAUUUGAGGGGUAUUUAUAGGCCUUAAGAGGAUUCAAAUUUUGGGCUCCAAAAUUUGAAUUCUCUUAGGGUUCCC